rnacentral:rRNA from 1 species
GACAGAGGUGCCAAGCGUUGGGCGGAAUCACUGGGCUUAAAGCGUGUGUAGGUGGAUGUCUAAGUACCUUGUGAAAUCCCACGGCUCAACCGUGGAACUGCUUGGUAUACUGGAUGUCUUGAGCCACUUAGGGGCUACCGGAACAAAUGGUGGAGCGGUGAAAUGCGUAGAUAUCAUUUGGAACGCCAAUGGUGAAAACAGGUAGCUGGGAGUGUGCUGACACUGAGACACGAAAGCCAGGGGAGCGAACGGG